AGGGCGGGACACGUGUUAUCCUGUCUGAAUAUGGGGGGACCAUCCUCCAAGGCUAAAUACUCCUGACUGACCGAUAGUGAACCAGUACCGUGAGGGAAAGGCGAAAAGAACCCCUGUGAGGGGAGUGAAAUAGAACCUGAAACCGUGUACGUACAAGCAGUAGGAGCACCUUCGUGGUGUGACUGCGUACCUUUUGUAUAAUGGGUCAGCGACUUAUAUUCAGUGGCAAGGUUAACCAUCUAGGGGAGCCGUAGGGAAACCGAGUCUUAACUGGGCGUCAUAGUCUCUGGAUAUAGACCCGAAACCGAGUGAUCUAGCCAUGGGCAGGUUGAAGGUUGAGUAACAUCAACUGGAGGACCGAACCGACUAAUGUUGAAAAAUUAGCGGAUGACUUGUGGCUAGGGGUGAAAGGCCAAUCAAACUCGGAGAUAGCUGGUUCUCCCCGAAAGCUAUUUAGGUAGCGCCUCGGACGAAUACUACUGGGGGUAGAGCACUGUUAAGGCUAGGGGGUCAUCCCGACUUACCAACCCUUUGCAAACUCCGAAUACCAGUAAGUACUAUCCGGGAGACACACGGCGGGUGCUAACGUCCGUCGUGGAGAGGGAAACAACCCAGACCGCCAGCUAAGGUCCCAAAUUACAGCUAAGUGGGAAACGAUGUGGGAAGGCUUAGACAGCUAGGAUGUUGGCUUAGAAGCAGCCAUCAUUUAAAGAAAGCGUAAUAGCUCACUAGUCGAGUCGGCCUGCGCGGAAGAUGUAACGGGGCUAAGUU
rnacentral:rRNA from 1 species